rnacentral:pre_miRNA from 1 species
GUGUGUGGCACCCUACUUCAGAGAGCCUCAAUCAUUUCUAUAUAAUAGUGAUUGAAACCUCUGAGGUGGAGUAACUCAUGA